UGGGGAAUAUUGCGCAAUGGGCGAAAGCCUGACGCAGCGACGCCGCGUGAGGGAUGAAGGCCUUCGGGUUGUAAACCUCUUUCAGCAGGGACGAAGCGCAAAUGACGGUACCUGCAGAAGAAGCACCGGCCAACUACGUGCCAGCAGCCGCGGUAAUACGUAGGGUGCGAGCGUUGUCCGGAAUUAUUGGGCGUAAAGAGCUCGUAGGCGGUUUGUCGCGUCGACUGUGAAAACCCGAGGCUUAACCUCGGGCCUGCAGUCGAUACGGGCAGACUAGAGUUCGGUAGGGGAGACUGGAAUUCCUGGUGUAGCGGUGAAAUGCGCAGAUAUCAGGAGGAACACCGGUGGCGAAGGCGGGUCUCUGGCUCAUACUGGACGCUGAGGUGCGAAAGCGUGGGGAGCAAAC
rnacentral:rRNA from 1 species